AUGAGUAUGUCUUUAGAUGUCAUGGUAUGGAAUGUAAGGGGGCUCAAUAACCCUGCUCAGAGGAACGCAGUUAGGCUUUUCGUGCAAUCUCUCAAUGUAUCCCUAGUUUGCUUUCAAGAGUCCAAGUUGGCACUGGUGAAUGACAUUAUGGUUCGGGAAACUCUGGGGCCUGCCUUCGAUGGUUUUGAUUUCCUGCCGGCUGAAGGAACACGUGGUGGCAUAUUGUUGGCUUGGAAGUCUGAUAUGCUGCGGGUGACUAACAUCCAGAAAGAGGAGUUCAUGAUAUCGGCACAAGUUCUUUCUCUAGCAGAGGGCAAAUAG
rnacentral:rRNA from 1 species